AAGAGCCGUACGAGGUGAAAAUCUCAUGUACGGUUCUUUAGAGUGGCAGUAAGGUUGAUUCAUCUGUCAACUUUUCC
rnacentral:ncRNA from 1 species